rnacentral:rRNA from 1 species
CGCGGGUAGACGUGGGCGCGAGCGUAGUCCGGAUUUUUUGGGCGUUAAGAGCUUGUAGGCGGCUUGUCGCGUCUACUGUGAAAACCCGCGGCUCAACUGCGGGCUUGCAGUCGAUACGGGCAGGCUAGAGUUCGGUAGGGGAGACUGGAAUUCCUGGUGUAGCGGUGAAAUGCGCAGAUAUCAGGAGGAACACCGGUGGCGAAGGCGGGUCUCUGGGCCGAUACUGACGCUGAGGAGCGAAAGCGUGGGGAGCGAACAGGAUUAGAUACCCUGGUAGUCCACGCUGUAAACGUUGGGCGCUAGGUGUGGGGGGCCUCUCCGGUUCUCUGUGCCGCAGCUAACGCAUUAAGCGCCCCGCCUGGGGAGUACGGCCGCAGGCUAAAACUCAAAGGAAUUGACGGGGGCCCGCACAAGCGGCGGAGCAUGCGGAUUAAUUCGAUGCAACGCGAAGAACCUUACCUGGGUUUGACAUGGCCCGCAAAAACUGUCAGAGAUGGCAGG